rnacentral:rRNA from 1 species
GACGAACGCUGGCGGCGUGCCUAAUACAUGCAAGUCGAGCGGACGGAUGGGAGCUUGCUCCCAGACCGUCAGCGGCGGACGGGUGAGUAACACGUGGGCAACCUGCCUGUAAGACUGGGAUAACUCCGGGAGACCGGGGCUAAUACCGGAUAACUCUUUCCCUCACAUGAGGGAAAGCUGAAAGAUGGCAUCUCGCUAUCACUUACAGAUGGGCCCGCGGCGCAUUAGCUAGUUGGUGAGGUAACGGCUCACCAAGGCGACGAUGCGUAGCCGACCUGAGAGGGUGAUCGGCCACACUGGGACUGAGACACGGCCCAGACUCCUACGGGAGGCAGCAGUAGGGAAUCUUCCGCAAUGGACGAAAGUCUGACGGAGCAACGCCGCGUGAGUGAUGAAGGUUUUCGGAUCGUAAAACUCUGUUGUCAGGGAAGAACAAGUACCGGAGUAACUGCCGGUACCUUGACGGUACCUGACCAGAAAGCCACGGCUAACUACGUG